CUGAUGUAAAGAAACCUGAGCUGCCUGUUGUAUAAGAGGAUAGCACACACCAUUAUGAACAAUGGCAACAGUGCUCAAAGGGAAGGAAGAUAAUUAAAAUGGAAGACAGAGCCAUCAAAAACCAUGUGGAGGAAAGUCACUACAUGAGCCUAGACUGAAAGAAUGUACACAGGCAGAUAUAAAUGCCUAUUUCAUUUAACGUAUUUUGCUUAGGAUCUCCUUGUUAUAAAACCUUGGCUUUUGGUCAAAUAACACAGACCAGUAAGAAAUGAGGUUGGAAGAUGGGAAUAUUUAGGAGCAGUAGGAAUGGCUCUCCUGACACCAGUUCUUGAACUAUAAAUGUGUUUGGAUUCCCAGAGGUUUUUACACUCUACUAACAUUUAUGAUUUGUGAGAGAUUAGUUUCAGGAACUAGUACAUGUUGAAGUAGAGGAUUUAAAGACUAUCCAUGAUUAAAUGUCUCUUUGCAAGAUACCCGUUCCCUGAGGGGCAUGCAUCAUGCACAGGAAAACCACAGGAUCUGCGAAAUGCAAGAUGACCCAACUUCCAACAGUGUUAAUCAAUGGAGUAGUCAU
rnacentral:lncRNA from 1 species